rnacentral:sRNA from 1 species
GCAAAAACAUAAAAUAAAUUCCGAAAUGUUUAAAAAUAGUCGAACUCCAAACCCUGCGUGUUAAAAUCAGUCGAGCACUGAGAUAGUGAGGACACUGAAUUGGUUAGGAUUAAACGUUUUCUUCAGCUUUUCAAUGUUUCUUGUACAAUCCAUGAGAGGAUGAAUCCAGUCCAUGAAUUUCAAUCUAAAUUAUACAUAAUGCUUCCAAAUAAUCCUAUUUUUAUGUGUUUUAAAAAUUUGCUUUCAAAGAAUUUGGAAAGAAAUAUCACAGCUGAACUAGUACACUAGCUAGUCAUGUUCGAUCAUGUGUAAAUUGGUAGUCCUGCGUUAUUUACAGUUUUAAAACAUCUGACUGAUUCAUUUCGCUCUCGUGGAUUAAAACCUUGCGUCUCAAACAGCAACCUCCUGUAAUCCGUUUUUUAGUGCAAGACCAAGCGCCCAUUUUUUUUAUGUGCAUCUGAAUGCCAAAGCCUAUUUCCUAUGUCUGGAUGCAGACAGUCAGUGAUUGACGAGGUCAAGGUCGUGUCAUAGUGUCAUCCUUCAGUUCAAGGACACGAACAGGUGUAUUCUGAAAGGGAAAUAACUCUAGCAUGGUGAGAGGAAUACACUAACGUGGUGUAGAUGCAACAGUCAGUGAUAAGAUCACAAUUGUCUACCGAGUGCUCGCUCUCUACGUCAAUUGUGCCAAUGUGAAGCAAUCUUUUUUACACCUAUUUUUAAUUAGAAUUUAUUAUUUAGAGUUUUUAUCUAUUUAGGUUUUUUUUUAAUGAAGUACUGGAUUAACUUUUUCUUGGAAAUGUAGUAAGAUCUACAUGUAUUUCAACAAUUAAUUACUGUGUAAUUGGUGUUGGUUAUUAUACUGUAAGGGUUUAUUAUCAUCAAAAUUAUACUUCAAGACAAAUGUAUGUAAAAAAUCGUCUGAAAGUUUUCAAUUUUUGAAGUAUAAUAUGUUUUAUUACAAGAAACUUUUUUGGAGUAUCUUAACAUUGCCUUUGAAGUUAAGUUACUUUGAAUAUUUAGAUGUGAUUUUUAAAAAAUGCUACUUUAAGUUUAGUUACUUUAAAUAUUUUGAUGUGAUUAAAAAAAUCCUUGAAUUAUGUGACAAAAUUAUUUUGAAGUUGGGUUUGAGGGAAUGGACUGUGAUAUAUUUUUAAGUUUUUGCAGAGUGUUACAUGUACCACAUUCCAGCAGUAGUUGAUAUUUUUAGGGGUUUUAUACAUCAAGGUUGAUGAUGUUGUUAAGGGAGCUCAUGUAAAUUAAUAAACAAGGGAGCUCACUGUGUAAAUGGGGUUGCUUCAUAUUGGUUCUUUAUUUUUCUCUCUGUGAUCAGAUUUUUUUUUAUUAUUUUACUAAGUUUUGCUGUGUUAUUUUUUUUAUUGUCGUGUUAACAUGUUCUCACAUUCGUUUGAGGAAAACUAAAAGCAUACUUGUUACAUUAACUGUUUUACUUCGCAUGCAAUAAAACUUCUGAAUAAUUGGG